rnacentral:lncRNA from 1 species
UUUGUAGUGUGACUCCCUAUUUAUAGCUGAGUAGAGGUUGGUGCAAAACCUUUUCAAAUUACUAACUGAAAAGCUUACAUAUUCCAUGACUGUUGCUCUCUGAUUUUAAUAUUGAAACUGCUCAUGAAUGCUGCCCCUGAUUGAUGAUUCGUAACUGAAACGGCUCAUUGUCAAUGUCAUUUUAAUUGUGCCUCUUUGAAUUUCUUCCUGAUUGCUCUCCUCUAUAAUUGCCAAUUACUGCUUUAUUGAUUGGAAAAUAUCCACAUGAUACUAUGAAUUCUGAUUUGCAUCCUUUGGUGUUCUCUUUAUUCAUUGAUUAGCUUUUCUUAUCAUUUCCUAACUGCCUCAUAAUAUAACAGUUACUAACUGAGUUUUUGGUUUCUCUUUGUUAGAACCACCAUAAAGCUAUCUUUAGGGAUAUUAGGGCCACACCCUGCAUGAAGACCUGAAUAGACCUAACCGUAUAGUGAAGGGCAACAACAACAUGGCUAGGAUUUAGCCCUCAAUGACCACAAUGUUGAAGAUUUAUGGUCAUGUGCGUAUUGAUGCGGGAUAAGUGCCCAACUUCUUCAUCUAUUUCAUUUUUGUUGUUGAAAUUGUUCACUCUUAAAGUACUCACUUUGCUUCUUCAUCUUUGGCAGUUUGAUGACAUUAUCAAUGUUAAGAGCAUUUGUUAAUGGUUGCUGAAUAAAAAGGGCUAGGUGCACCGAAGAAUUGUAAGCAUAAUAAGAAUGCUCUAUUCUUUGUAUCUGACCCAACCAAGAUGAAGAAAUGCAAGGACAUGUGACGCAUGGAAGUGGGUGACUCAAAAGCUCGAAGUAUAAGCAUCAACGUUAACAUGCAUAUGAACAUUGUGAUGCUUAUCUUUAGAAACAAUGCUUUUUAUUUUAAAAUAGUUACCUUAAUUAGUGCUAGUAGAUUGUGUGUUGGUGGAUUAUUAGUGAUCCAUUGAUGACAAAACUGUUGGUUUCUGAAUCUAUGCAAAUGUCCCACGACCAAGGAUGUCUUGGACAAUAUGCCUCAUGUUUCUAUCAAAUAUCCUAAGUAUCAAGCCUCUUUGGGUUUUCCCAUAUCAGGCAGCACGACAAAGCCAUUGGCAUGUAUAGAACUUUGUUGGUAAUGUGUAAUGUAAUAAAAGUUGUAUAACCUAUGUGGUAUCAACUAUGUGGUUAACCUAUGUGGUAUCAACUAUGUGGUUACCUGAUUUUGGUCCCAAUAAUAUCCUGGCCACAAACUAGCAUCUUGACAAAACUAUACACUUGGAAUUUAUUUUAACCACUGGACGUGUGAAUUACUAACGCAAUGGUAGUAUGGAUGUUGUAAUUAACUCAAAUUAAGAGAUAUGGUUGAUUUUUUUUGUACUAGCCACUGAUAGCUAACAAUUCUCACAAAUCAAUGAAGGAUGUUCUAUUUUGUUUUGAGUUUCACACAAAAGAUAAAAGAAAUAGGUA